ensembl:lncRNA
CAGGAUGCCCUCCUGAACUGCUACCUCUGCCUCCACAGGGAUUACAAGCCUGUGCCAUCACCUCUGGUUAUCUGUUUUGGUUGGGUUGCUCUUUUAGCUGCUGGAACCUGUAUACCCUACUGCACCAAACAUUCUGACUUUUCUGUGUCCAUAUGAUAGGAUAGCACCAUAGUGAAAAGAAGGAAGAGAGCAGGGAGCCUGGGAGGAGUGAGACCCUUGUGUACAGUCUAGCUGGAGCUGCUCAGCUGGUUCUUUGUGGUGGUCGCCACAGAACUGGGGAAAUGAUGUGUUCCCCCCCCCCCCCCCCCGCAAAGUUAUCCAUUGAGUGCAGUGUGAAACAGUGGCAGACUAUGGCUAAUGAGGUUUGAAUCAGAUUGUUGUGUGCUGUUGGUUAUGUAACAUGGUGAGAGUAUUAUGAAAAGUUGCAGUCUGUGGCGAGGUAGAGAGAGGCAAGUAAAUUCUGCUGACCCUCCUUCUUGGGCUUUAAUUUCUGGCUGAACCUGAAGGCACUUUAGGCUGCAACUAUAAUUAUACCUGGGCAGUCUGUUUCCUGUUUGCAUGAUGGACUCAAACGUCGUGAUUUCAUGUGGUGAUCUCUUGCCCUUCGUGUUAGAGGCAGAUUGUUUUCCCUGGUGAAAACAUUUGUAACUCAGGUGAACAAAUGUCUUUCAAUGUUUUGAAGAUCAGGUAGUAAAAUUACAAUUUUUUCUUCUUAGUAACAUUGAAAUUUAACUUAACAUUCUUUCCACAUGCAUAUUCUUUGAUGGUAGGUUUUAAUCUACCAGGGACUUGUGCAGUGUGGAUCAUGACAGCUCUUGUUGAUAACUCACCAGUGUUUGCUCUUUCCUGAUGUACAUGGUUUGGCAGUAAGAGCCACAUCAGAGCCAAUCUCAAGCCUUCAUUCCUCUGCUUACUGUCUCUGUGUUACAUUUAUUUCUGUCCUAUGUUCUUAACCUCCUAGUGCUCUGUAGGAGGGACAUUGUAUUUCUUCAGGUGUUGAAGGCACCUUACUUAGAUCCUGUGGUGUGUCAGCAUGCCUCCAAGGGGUCAGGUACUGGCCAAGUUUUCCCUUCUGUAAUAGACAGUUUUAGCCUGAGGUUUGAUUCUUAUCUUCAGGAGGGGGCCUUCUGGAAAAGUUAAAGCUAGCAAAGUUGGAUCUACGGAAGCUGUGGUGCACAGAUUCAAGAGUCUUCCUCACUAAAACAUGACGAAGGCUGGUUCUUCAAGCCCUGGAAGUUGACCUGUGCCUUUUUACACCUUGUUUUUCCACUUCUGAAUAUUAGCGAUUGGAAUUCUCAGGGCAGGGGCCAUCCACUUAUUACCACCACCGUACAUCUUUUACCUCCAACCAAAGCGUGAAUGCCAUGUGUAUGAUUACUGAAUGGAACAUUUAGAAGUCUUUCAGAAGAAUUGUUAAAAAACUAGAUUGUUAGGAUUCUCUAAUUCCCCAAUCUUUUAUUUUUAUUUAUUUUAUUUUUUUAAGAUAAGGUCUCUCUGUAUAGCUCUGGAUGUCCAGGAACUCACUGUGUAGGCCAGGCUGGUCUCAAACUCACAAAGAUCCACCUGCCUCUGCCUCCCUAGUGCUGGGACUAACAGCGUGUGCCACUGUCUAAUUUCCAAACCUCACAGGUCACAUAUUUUAAACCUUUAUUGUUUCACAACUUAGGAUGAUGUAAUUACAGAGCAUUAAGGUUCUUCAAAAUUAAUCAGCUAGUUUGGGUUCUUUAUGUAGCUUUGAUAAAUGUGUGGAUGUGCCCACACAUGUAUACAAACACCUUCUUUCUAGCCAAGUCGGAGGUUUUGGUUCAAUUCUAACAGAGGUCAUUCCAGUAGUUACUCUCUCUGCCUUUGUUUACUAUGUCUUAAUUUUGUUGGGAUUAUGUUUUGGGGGGAGGGGGGAAGGAGAAUUUGUUAUUAGGACAGUUCUCUUAUGUGAUCCUAUAAUUUUAUUUCAUUAGUUAUUAAUAUUAAUGUGCAUCUUUGUAAAUAGAUUAUGUUCUUGAAUCUUUUGUGACUACAACCUUUGUCUGAAUUGUAACUGAUUUCUAGCUUGGUAUUCCAUAGACAUUUGGAAAAAGGUUGAUCUUUUGUGAGAUUUCUGACUGUAGCUUUACCUUCUGAUCUGCUGUGUGCUGUUUUGUUUAACUGAAACUAGUGAGAGCAGUGGCACCCACAGCCACCCAGGCCCCCUCAGAGCAGGUGCUUCAGGAGAGCCCACAUUUGGCACGGUUAACUUAGCUCUCAGAAGAUAAGUGCUUUCACAGAGGAUUUUGUUCUUCCCAAAGUACUGGGGUCUGCCUUUUUUCCUAGAUGGUGGGCUCAUAACUUGAGGUUUGAUCAUCCUGGCAUGUACUCCACGGAAGACAGGACAAGUAGAAAUACUUAAGUCUGCUAACUUCCCUUAUUUGCAUCUUCCUAUUCCCUGAGAGUUGUGUGAAGAGUUAGAUCUGUGACUCUAGAGGAGCUGUGGGCACCUGCUCUGUUGGAGCUUUCCUGCCGACAGUCCUAGGUGCGGCCUGUGCAUCUGUCCAGCCUAUGUGUCUGUCCCGUGUGAUUGUUGGUAACUGGCUACUGGUUUUUAGGACCAGAAGGGUAGGAGCUUUUUGACACUGCAUCCUGAGUAGCCUAGAAAGUUAACUUGGUUGUAUAUCUGCAGCUAGCUUGCUUCAAGUAACUUGAUUCCCAAACUUUUUGAUUCCCAAACUUGCUGCCUAACCUGGGAUUCCUGAUUAAAAUGUGGGAAGGUUUUGUUUUGUUGUUGAGAUGGGUGUCCCUGUCUAUGGAACUCAGUGUGUAGACCAUGCUAGCUGACCGCAAGCUCACAAAGAUCACCCUGUUUUCGCUUUCUGAGUGCAGGGAUUAAAGGCAUGCACCACUGUACCUGGCUAUUGUUUUUUAAGUUUUAUUUUUAAUUCUCUCUCUCUCUCUCUCUCUCUCUCUCUCUCUCUCUGUGUGUGUGUGUGUGUGU